UCACUGAUUUAUGAUUUAUUGAAGUUGGUGCAUGUUUGGUUGACUUCUUUGAGCAUGUUUGAACUUGCCCUGCCUUUCUGAUUUUCAUUUCCAUACUUCCCAUGAUCCAAAUGAGCUGAAAUUUGGUGUGCUUAUCAUGUUAUGGAUGAUGUUUGAUCAUGAAUUAUUUGAGAAUUUAUUGAAUUGUUUAUGAUUGGUUUUGAGUUGAGUCUUGCUGUUGACUUCUAUGAGCUUCCAUAUGCCAUGCUUUGACCUAAUUUG
rnacentral:lncRNA from 1 species